rnacentral:rRNA from 1 species
AGAUUGAACGCUGGCGGCAGGCCUAACACAUGCAAGUCGAGCGGCAGCACGGGUACUUGUACCUGGUGGCGAGCGGCGGACGGGUGAGUAAUGCCUAGGAAUCUGCCUGAUAGUGGGGGAUAACGUUCGGAAACGGACGCUAAUACCGCAUACGUCCUACGGGAGAAAGUGGGGAUCUUCGGACCUCACGCUGUCAGAUGAGCCUAGGUCGGAUUAGCUAGUUGGUAGGUAAAGGCCUACCAAGGCUACGAUCCGUAACUGGUCUGAGAGGAUGAUCAGUCACACUGGAACUGAG